rnacentral:lncRNA from 1 species
GGUCAUGAUGCAUGGGACUAACAGGUAUUAUAAACGUGGCAUAGCUCUGAAAAGGCAUUGCGUUUCUGGGCUAACAACAAUCAUAUUCUUGUCUAUAUCAGGGUCAACACAUCAAUAUAUUCCUUCCAGCAAACUACAGUUCUUAAAUGUAAUUCAUUUCCAACUUAAUGAACUAUUGAAACAUAACUAAUUUUGUCAUGCUAAUAAAUGAACCCUCCCAUGAAGGUUUAGAUAGCAAUCUUUGAUGCACAGUUCAUGACCACCACAAAAUUGCGAGCUCCUAUUUAGAAUGUUUCAAAUACUGAUGGAGGGUGUCUAAAGUAAAUAUUUCAAACCGGUAUUUCAAAAGUUAACCACCAGACAGAAUUUGAGUAUUGAUUAAAGAAAGUAACAUACACAUGGAUCACAUGGUGUAUUAUGCAGUAUUUAAUGGCAAAAGAAUUGAUUACAUGCCAGACAAUUUGCUUUUAUCUAUACUAACAUUAUAUGGAAUCACCUAUCAGCAAUGAACAAGAAAGUGGAUCCUAUCAUGUUCUUGCUGAGAAUAUACAUAAUUGUGUUGGUUGGCAUCUCCCAAGAGGCAGACAGACCCCAAGAUGAGAUUAUAAGUACAAAAAGUUUAUUGAGGAAUGUGCUUGGAAAGCAUAAAUACAUGGAAUCAGAAGUAGACAAGGGAGAACGGUCAGAUUAAAAACUCUAACCAGAUGCUUUUGAAAAGGGAGUGGGAAAAAAGAAGGAUAAGAUAGAUCUAAAAUUGUCACACUAUUCUUGUAAAUUUUGGUUGAGCUUGUGGGAAUUCUUUGAGUCCAAACACUCUGUAAGGGUAGUCUCAUGUCCCAUUGAGAUGGGCUAGCACUAGUAGCCCUGUCAUGGUCAAUCAUUGGCUGGGAGCAGCCUGGGGAAAUUAUGAACUUGGAAAUCUAUGGUGGUAGAUCCAGAGACCAUAGGGAUGCUCACUGGGCUGUCAACUAUACUCCCCAUAGCAGGUCUGUCAUACGGGGGAUUCUCAUGGCCACCGCAAUAACCAUACCCCCAAAACGUUUGUAAAAGGCUGAUGUGUGUGUGUGUGUGUCUGUGUGUGUGUGUUUUGCCUUAUCAAAUAUAUAUGGUGACUUAAAUUGAAUGUUGAACACCAAGCAUUAUUGUUAGUUCAUUUUUGUAAAAGUAAGUCAUGUAUUUUACCACCAUUCCACUUGUAAUUUAAACAUCAUGGGUUAAGGAAUGGAUGAUCAGAAUGCAUUCUCAUUAUUGUCUAACUUACACGUAUUGUCUCCUGAAUGCUUCACCAGGAGAGUGGUUCUUCCACUGUUGUCUUUGCUCUCUGCCACUACUGAUCAUCCCUUUUCACCCAGCACUCUAGGGUAGCAACUGGCUUAUCUCUGCUUUUCUGCUGAGCAUGAGGGGAGUAGUACAAUAAAGGUUGCGUUUUCUUAAGCCUGAUUAAGACUAAACAUAUAGAUGCAUAUACCAUGAAUAUGUCUUUGCUUAAAGAGUGAUUUUAGUAUGGAAUUAAAAGUUUAAGAAUGAUAAACAUUAAAGAUCUAAAAAAACUUGCUAUUUUCCUUAAAGGUUAGGAUGGUAAGCACUUAGAUUUUCCUAAUUAGGCCACCUUAUAUUUCUUUCACUUCUCAUUGAGCUCUUUCAUUUCUGAGUUUUGUCUAUGAUGCAGUUGUAUAUUUAUCUUAAUUUUGUUUCAUAGCAAGUAUUGUCAAAAAGCACUCUCUCUACAGUCAAGGGUACUUCUAUCAACUUAACUUGCACUUCAUGCUAAUAUGAUGGCAGUGCACUUCACACAGGUAUGCAUGACCAAGUUUCUGCAAGUGAAAAUGAAUGUAUUAACUCAUUAGUUGGAAAGUUUGUACUUGAGCUCUAUAAAUAGGUAAGAGGAACUUCAUUUGGUUGGAUGUCACAAAGAAUUAAAUUGCUCUAGUGGCAUCAAGAUAUUUAAUAAAGUAUCAAAAUAUGAAAACUUAAAACAUGUGGAAAAGGAAGCUCUGUAUAAGAAAUUGUGACACUAUUAAUAUAAGCUUGCAGUGGGCCAUUUGAGCACUCCUGCUGGGAAAUAUUACGGGGUAAUCCAACAUGAUGCAUGUUGAGGCUUUCUAACAUUCUGUGAUUGUUUUCAAGUUAUUUCCAUACUAAUGUUACAUAUGAUGUGAAUAUGCAAGAUUAGAAAUAAAAUUAUUCUUCAGAAAAGUAUUUUGAAUGUAUAAACACUGCAGAACAUUUUUCAUUAGUAUUCAAAUGAAAUUGAUGUUUAGUUUACGCAAAAACUGAAAUCUGAGAUAUAAUUACAUUCUUAUCCCAAUCUCAUUCACAUGUAAUCAUUAGAAAUACAUACUGAAACAAAAAGCAUUUGAAGAGCUUUUGAUGUUAAAAAUCUAGUCAAUUAAAAUAUUAUUUGUCAUAUUAUUUUAUUGAAAAACACACAAAAUCAUUUUAAUUACAAAGCUAAUAGUAUCUCAAUAUACUAAAUUUAACUUCACCACUCAAAUGUUUGAUCUGUCUCAGCAGAUUUUGCAUUCACUAUGUAUAACAAAGAAUAAAUCCAGUUCCUAGGAGGAAGCAACUUACUUCUUCUAAAGAUCGGUUUAUGUCCAAGCACUCCAAGCACUUAUAUUUUCUUUUCACUUUAAGCAUCUUCUAGAAAAUCCCAAGAACACUUUUAUGUAAAUAAAAUCUGUAGCAAAAGUAUUUCUAACCUAAACCAGUGAAUAGUAGUUGCUUUUUGCACCAAUAAAAUUGAUAGUUACCAUGCAAGCUACAUUUUUUGUUCUGUACUCUCUUGGUAGGUAUUUCUUGAAACAAGAUAACAAUUGCUUCACUGAUUGCUUCUCACUGGGAAAGACUCUUAAAUGAAAAAUACACUAGGUAGUUUCUGUGUCAGAAAUCAACACUGUCACUGGGAGGAAAGUAUGCAAAAUGUAUUACUUUGGCAUUUUUGUAAAGUUAUAUUGUCCUACAGGGGAACAAGGAUGCUUGUUUGCACUAGGAUCCAAAAUACACUAGGCUUUGCUUCCUUUUAUAACAAAGUUUUGCCUUCACUCUAUUUUUUUAAAUAUUAAGACAAAAAAACUGAAUCCCAUGUUAACAAUUUUGUUUACAUGUAAUGAUAAUGGAGAAGGCAUAUAUAAAGUUAUUGUUAGCCUUAUAACUAAUGCCUAAAUUAAUGAACAUGAAAAAUAGUGCUAUAUAAUUUUGUUUUCCUACGUUAAGUGAGUUACAGUCAAUGGUAGUAUCAAAAUAGACUAAGCCAGGCUGCCGUUAAAUGUGGUUAAAAUGUGUGUGUGUCUGUGUCUCUGUGUGUGUGUGUGUGUGUGUGUGUGUGUGUGUGUGUGCGCGCCACAGAGCCUUGGUGGCUUAAAGGCAAAUGAUUAUUUCUUCCCAACCUACAGAUGAUAAAGAAAGGUUAGGAUUCUGUUUUGUGUCACACACUCCAGGACUAAAGCCAACAGGGCAGAUACUGUAAUGAAUUCAUGCCUGUUGUAAAGACCCAGAGAAAGAAAAGUGGAUGGGUUGUCCACUGUUUCUUUAAAUUUCUAGGCCUGACAAAUGUCACUUCUUCUCACAUUUUAUGGCCUUUCAAUGGAGCAGGGCAGUGAAAUAAUAUUAGGUUCCUAGAAGGAGAGCCAGCAAUAUUAGGGGGCAGUCCCAGUGAUGACCACAGCCUGACUAUCUGUCUUCCAAACAUUCAACUCUUCUCCUUACUACCUGCAGACUCACUCACUCCUCUAGGGGACAACACAAAAUUUUCCUUCAGUCACUUCAUUAUAGCUCAAAUUCCAGGAACUCUGAUUGAUAUCUGUUUCAUUUUUUCCACAUCUAGAUGUGGCUACUCGAUCUAGAGACCUAUAUAUUAGAAUGACUAGUUUUCCCAAAACUGAAACUUGCAAUGAUAAAAUGGGCACAGAGCCCUCAAUAUACUCUUUAUUUGGAAAGAAUACUAGGUCGAUUAGAUCAGUCACUGAUAGGCAGCAAUUCUGAACUUUCCCACCCAGGCAUGGCAAGCAUCCUUUCCCUGGAGACAGAAAAUGCUCCUGGGUUAGGCAUUGAUUCUGCUCCCUAGGAGGGAACAUCACUCAAUUUUUCCCCAUAACUGUUGGCAUCACUUUCUGGAAGUUUCUUUUUCAUCAAUUAUUGGAAAGGAAUAUGCACUUCUGUGAGGGACUAGGCAUUUUUUUUCAGCCUAUUUCCUACCUUUAGUCACCUGGAGACCAAAGAGACAUUUUAAGUCUUAAAUAGUCACAGUGUAUUUAGAUCCAGGGAAGCGGAUACAUUGGCAGUGCUAAUGUCUCAAAAACCUUAAUGGCCUCUGUGUCUUUCCUUUCCCACCAGCACGCCAACCUUGAAUGGGUGUAUGUGGUGGGCAGAAUUCUAAAAUAUUUUUUCAGAUAAUGAUUUGAUUUGAAUACAUGUGAAUUUAAUUGAAUACAUAUGUGUUUAUAUUGGACAAUAUCAAAUAGGCAGUCAGGAGUUAACUUCAUCAAGUACCAGAAACAAAUGAAAUGUCUUACGAUUACUUAGGUUUUACCAAAUUUUCACAAAUCAGGAAAGUGAAAUUGUGGUUGUUGCUCUUGUUUUUUUUAAUAUUGUCAUAAUAUUUGGUUCAGGUUAUAUAAGGAGAUAAGUCUAGUAUAGGAUUUUCUGAAAUUAGCUGCUUGAUUUUAACUGAGAGAUUUGCAGUUUUGGAUUUCAGUAUUUUGUCUUUCACCCUAUUGCUGCAAUCACAGUUUGAACAGGUAAUAAAAAUGGGAAAGAUGGAAAGUUUUUUAUUUUGUGUUUUAUACAAGAAAAUAAAAAUGUAAAUUAUUUAAUUUUAAAUUAAGCUGGAGGCUGAAGGAUUACAAUAUCAGUUGCAUACACUACAUGACAAAAAAUGGUGAAAUAUUGAUCACACAAAAUGUCUUUAUUUAAAUAAGUUAUUAUCAUUAUAUUUAAUUACACUAUUUUGCCCCAGAUUUUAUCAGGUUGUGAGUUUAAUUUGGCAGGUAAUCUUCUUUGACUCAUUAUAGCCUUGUCGCUAUUUCUUUCCAAUGAGUAAACAGAAACCAUAAACUUCUUUAAAAGAUUGAGAAUGCAAUUUAGAAAGAGAUGUUUUAAAAAGUAUUGAGAAGAUGUGGAAAAAUAAAACUGAAUUAUAACAAUGUUACAAUGAUUAGAUAAAAUGAGUGGAGAAGUAUUUGACUCUCUUCAAAAUUAAGCAAAGAAUUGUGUAGAAUUAGGAUUAUUUCUGUGUUAUUUGAUUAUGGAAUUUGUUUGUGAAACCAUAUGGCAUUGGCAUUUUUUGGAAGUUCUUAAACUAAGAAUUACAUUUCUCUAAUAGAUAUGGGACAAUUCCAGUUAUUCAUUUUAUCAGUUGAUUUUGAUAGCUUGUGUUACUCAAAGAGUAAGUGUUUAAUUUAUUGGCAUGCAGCUUCUCAUAUUUCCUCACUGUUAAAAGGCCAAUAUAAUAUUUCCUUCAAAGGCUAAGAUAAAUUUGUAAAUUAAUGGAUUAUAAAUAAAUGUAUAAAACCAUAAAUUACAUACAAGCAGUAGUUAUUUCAUAUAUCACAUAUCUGAUAAAUUGGAAACUAAUAAUUAUUUCUUCAAAGCCAGGGUUCUCAGAUUUGACACAAUUGCCAUUUGGAGCUGGACAAUUUUCUGUUGAAGGCAGUUGUCUUGUGUACAUUUUUUCCUGCUUUGCAGCAUCUCUGGCCAGUAUCCAUACAUGGAAGUGGCACCCUCUCUUCCCCAGGUGAAAAAAACAAAAAAGCUCCAAGCAUUGCAAAUGUACUCUGAGGGGCACUAUCACUCCUGGUGAAGAGCUACUGCUUUAACACAAAGGAUGAGAUGUCUCAUCUCCCUCCUAAGGUCAUGUGUACAUGUAUAAUUAGAUAAGAGGUGUAUUAUUCUUCCCUUUAAUCCAUCUUCUUCGAUAAACAAAAAUGUUCAGUAUAAAGGCAAACCGAUAAUUCAAAUACGCUAUUUACAAAGAGAUUUGCAUUCUAAAUUGAUGUGGCUUUGAACAGACAAAUAUUAUAAAAGAAAUUGUGUUUGUAUAUUAUGCUAAGGAUGAGACACUUUUUUACAAAUAAUAAGAGUUAAAUAUUUGAACAAUUAGCACUGUUCUCUUUGUUCUUAGAAUGAACUUUCAAAAUGCCUACAUAUAUAACACAUUACUACAUAAUUUUCAAGAAGGAAUAGGAAUCUUUAAUGAAAGAUAAACUAUUAUAGAGCAAUAUAAUCAGAAACAAAAUAUAGGAUAUUAAAAAUCAUACAGAGAAGCAAACUAAAUUUAUGCAAGUAAAUUGAAGAAUAUAGGUUUUAAAAAAGGGUUUUGUUUAGGUACAAAUUAACACAGACACAUUAGAGUGAUGAAUAUGGAAUUGUGAUUUAUGUAAACAAAACAUCACAUAAAAUAUAUGACUCCAAUUAUUGGUAUUUCAUUUUAUACCUAUUUUAAGAGAUUUAGGAAUGUGUGGUUUUGGACUAUCUCAUUGUUUUAUGCUCCAAUUUAAUUUAGAUACAUGAUUUACAUUGUAAUUUUAAAUGUUUAUGUUAUGUGUAAUACAAAGAAGAAAGUAAUAUUAGUCAAUAAUUGUGUAUUUAUUUAUGUACUUCAAAAGCAAAGAACAAUGAACCUAAAAUGAACAUGAUACAUUAUCCUUUGGAUAACAUUUACAUUUUCUUUCUCAAACAAAUUAUAAUGACAAGCUCUUGGAUAUAUUUAUAAUGUAGAUUGUUAAAAUUUGGAAAAAUACAAGAUUUAAAUGCUUUUACAGCUAAAAUAAUAAUAUGUUAAACUGUUCUCGGGGAUUUUCCAAGAUGAAAUGAUAGGAUCUGGAUUUAUUCUAAUAUCUGAAGCAACUAAAAUUAAAGGACAAAAUAUAUGAAACAAUAACGUUCAGAUACGGAACAUCAGGCCACACAGGACAAUGAUCCUUAAGAGAGAGGAAGACGUGAGGAAAGUCCUACGAUUGCCCCAAUAUCAUAACUGAGGGUCCCAUGUAUCUUUAGCUGAGGACUGAUAAGAAUACAUGUGAGACAGACAACCUGUUGCCAGGCAAAUAAUCACCCCAAAGGAGCACAGAACUCACAGGAAUAUAUCGUGUCCAUGGGACUUUGGAUAGAGGACCCCAGUGGGUAUUGUCUCCCUGUUAGUAUUUAGCCCUUGACUAAAGGCUGCUUUGGUCGAAUCUAAAAAACCUAGAAGCAAGCACUGAUUUCCUCUAACCGUACACUCCAGAGCCUGAUCCUCCAUACCUGAUCACAGACUUAACACUAGGACUUAGAGUUAAAGUGACCUUAUCCCGCCUAGAGUCUUCUGAGAUAAAUUGUUUUUCUACCUGUAUUACUUGCUAUUUGCUCUUAAACCUAGGCAGCAUUUCAAUUUUUUUUCUUCUUUUUUUGAAAUGGGUCUUGCUCUGUCACCAAGGCUGGAGUGCAGUGGCAAGACCAUGACUCACUGUAGCCUAUAUACCCUCAGGUUCAAACAAUCCUCCUGCUUCAGUCUACCGAAUAGCUGGAACUACAAGCACGCACCACCAUGUCUGGCUAAUUUUUUUUUUUUUUUUUUUUUUUUAAUUUAAAGAAAUGGAUCUUUCUGUGCUGCCCAGGCUGGUCUCCAACUGCUGGCUUCAAGUGAUCUUCCCACCUCGGCCUCCCACAGUGCUGGGAUUACAGGCAUGAGUCAACACCCCCAGCCUCAAUUACUUUUUUCAAUCUGCCUGACUCUGUUGGUUUACAGGGUUUAAAGUCCUGACAAUUCUCUUUACUUCUGCAUCAUCCUUUGCUUCUGAAAGAGACAUCAGUAUAAGUGUCUCUAUCUGUUAUUUUGUUCCUGGUUAUAAGCAGUGGAAGGCUUUAUUGUGUUAAGCAUCAAAAACGGAGCUGAACGUGCGAUGAAACAAACUGAAUACAAAACUAAAACGUACCAUCGCAAAGUAGCAGCCUAAGAAUUGCUCACUUUCAGUACCUGUGGCGAAUAAAAACCUAAUCUCCUCCAAAAUAGUUAUCGAUGAUGACACUGCAUGAAUACCAAUGAAAGAGCGCUGAAUCGAUUUAACCAUCUGCUUUAUCACAUUAAGGAAGACGUCAGAGCAAAUAAUGAUGAGCAAAGAUCAACAACAGCAAAAGCAAUGUUAGUUGUCACUACCACCACACAGACACCAACAUGACAUAGCCGAGUCACAGAUGAGUACAGUUUGAAGCAAUAUCACGCAUAACUAAAAGAGGUCUUCUAUUGUGUCUUCAUUUGCUUGCCUCUAAUAAAGUUUAUGUUCCUGAAGAAUUGAGGUUGGAAUUUAGUACUACUUUUAGAAAAUUCUUAAAGGCUGAUUUUAGGUGAGGACGCCAAGACUGAAAUUUCUAAUAUGAGAAACAGUGUAAUCCCAAGGUUGCAUACUUCAGUCCUGAGCAGGAGAUAAGAACAUUAAUUUUACUAAUUAAUCAUUAGGGGAAAGGAGAGCGCACUUAGGACCUCCAGCAAGAAUGAUGUUGAAUCAUGUAUUUAGGACAUUUUAAUGUGAUUAUGCUAUGACAAACUUUCUUUGUUGAGCUGACAAGGACCACCUAAAUUCCUGAGUUGCAAUAGAUUAGAGCUUUGCAAUGUACAUGCUGUUGAGACUGUGACCUGUAGAGAAUUGUAGCAAUCCUAUGAAAGCAGCAUGACUCCUUCACUAUUGGGAUUGAAAGCCCCAGUGACAGGUCACUUCCUCCAUCAUACCAAAGUGUAUGAACAUAUUCUAAUACACUAAGAAAUCUUUAUUAGCCAAUGUUCUUUGCUUUUCUCUUACUUUUUUUAAUUAUUGAAAUUUAAUAGCAACAUAUUUUAUGGAUUUAAGUACAAACUGUGAUAAGUUAUAGAAAAUAUGAAUAUAUUCAUAAUGAUAGCAUGCUCACAGUUUUCCUCUGUAUACUUCCCCUAUUAUAGCAGCUUAGUGGUGCUGGUUUGUUUUCCGUAGUGUAAAAUAGAUGAAUUCAAUGUGACCUUUCCUACACCAUGUGUUCAGCAAAUAUGAUACGCUCUGGGGAAUUAAUGACUCAUCACCACCAUUACCCUAGCAAACCCAUCAAUAUUGUAAUUUGUACAAACCAUAAACUGGGCGUUGGAAGGAUACUGAAAUUAAAUUGACAUUGAAUGAAAGUUAAAAUCGCAGCCCCCUUCACAUAUGCAGAUGUGGCUUCCUUCAUUUUAAUAAGGCAUUACAAAGGAGUUUCCUGAUUGAUAGAUAGUUGAUAUUUAUGGACCAUCUAAAAUGGGUAAAGUUGCAGAAAAAUUAUUCAAAAUGAUUUUUCUAACUUUUUAUAACUUACAUUCAUUGAUGCACAUGUGAAACUUUAUGUGUUGAUGAAAACUCAAUUGACAGUCUGUCAACUCACUUCAUGUUGUUUGUUUUUAAACUUUUUUGGGAAUAAGGGCUGCCUGUUAACUUUCUAAUCCCAUUAAUCCUAGUAGUUUGGAGGCAGCAGAUAUUGAUGAUAUAUUCACAUAUAAAUGUUUAUUACAUUUAAAAGAUUAUUUUUAGUUAUUAUUAUUUGAUUUUGUAUUUCUAUUUAAUUUGCUUCAAAAUACAAUAGAAGGAUUACCUUUCUUAGUAAAAACAGACAAUAAUCACUUUGGUCUAAUGUAACACUGGCUGUGAUAGAGUAGCUUGUAACAUGUUCAUGUUCCUUCAAUAACCAUGAUGGAAGCUACAUAAAAUAGUCAAGUAAACACAAAUGUCAUGGAAGGCAUCUAAGCCUUGAAAGAUCAAGAUUUUGGAGAGACAGAAAGAAGGGCUUACUGAAGAGGGUCUAGCAUUCUGCACGUCUUUUCUUCCUCUGGGUAUUGUCUAGUAGUUGGGUAUAGGAGAGAAUCUAAGAAGCCAGUUAGAGCCAGAUAGCCAAGAGGCAGAGAAACCAGCAAAGCUUUCAGAGAUAUCAUAAGAUACAAUGGCAAACAAUGCUGCUUGAAAGGCCAAGAACAUGGAGAAGAGAGAGGUCCAGAAAUUUUAACUUGAUAUAAGGCAUUUGUAUUAGUCCAUUUCCAUAAUGCAUAAGGAACUGCCCAAGGCUGGGUAAUUUAUAAAGGAAAGAGGUUUAAUUGGCUCAAAGUUCAGCAUGGCUGGGGAGGCCUCAGGAAACUUAACAAUCAUGGCGGAAGGUGAAAGGGAAGCAAGCCACCUUCCUCACAGGGCAGCAGGAAGGAGAAGUGCUGAGCAAAGGUGGAAGAGCCCCUUAUAAAACCAUCAGAUCUCCUGAGAACUCACUCACUGUCAUGAGAACAGCAUGGGGGAGACCACUCCCAUGAUUCAAUUACCUCCACCUGGUCUCUCCCUUGACAUGUGGGGAUUAUGGGAAUUACAACUCAAGAUGAUAUUUGGGUGGAGACACAAAGCCUAACCAUAUCAAUAUUGUUGAGGCAUUUCAGAUUAAGUUGUAUAGGAAAAGAGGCAGUCAGGCAGAAAAGCAGCUGAAAAUCAAAGGAAAAUUGUUCAUUUUAAAGUGUUGGAAAAAUUAAAAUUUGAAUCAAGAAGCUUCUAAGGAAGAUGGACCCUGCUUAUUAUCACAGAUUCACUGUUUAUUCUCCAAAAGGUCUACAUUGGUGUCAAGGUGAAUCAAAGGUGGAUCUAGCCAAAAACUACAUAUUAGACUGGAAUAAUUUCAGUCCCUAAAAGAUUGAGAAGAUUUGUCCCUACUCCAACUGCACAUCAGACAAAUCUACCCUGAAGGAAGAUAACUACAUCCAGAGGCUUUAUGAAUUUUUCAUAUAUAAGCCCUGGCAUUCAAUAGAAUAUUCAAUUAAAAAAAACAAAGUUGUACAAAACAUCAGUAGAAACAAACCCAGAGUUAAUCUAUUUAUUUAUAUUAUUACAAAUGGACUUAAAGAAGUUGUACUUAGUAAAUUGGAUAAAAUGUAUGACAAAAUAGAGAACUUCACCACAAAAUUCAAACCCAUAUAAAAAAAGCAUUAAUUAGAAAUUAUACAAUGAAUAAAUAUAAUGACUGAAAUUGAGAAGUUAGGUAGAUAAUAAUGGAUUUGACACAGCUGAAGAAAAAAAACAAUAAAAGAGAAAGUAAGUCAGAAAAAAAUAAUCUCAAGCAUGGGCAACAAACAGGGUGGAAAAUAUGAAAAAGCAGGUAAGGGCUAUGUAGGUCAGGAUGGAAAAGUUUUUCAUGAAUUUAAUUGGAUUUCUAGGAAGGGAGGAGAGAAUAGGCAAUCCAUCACCAUCUUUGGCGUGGAUCCCUCUGUCAUAAGGAAUGCUCACUGAUUUUCUAGCAGUCUUGCUCACACUGACAUUUUGGGGUUCCUGUGUUUGUUUGUUUGUUUGUUUGUUUGUUAGGUCUUUUAUUGGCUUCCAGUAGUCUUCUUUCUGUGUCCUUGCAUUUUGGUUUGCAUCUGCCUAAUACUGUGGGUCUUUUUUCUUGAGUUUUCUAUUAAAUUAGUGUCUUAUUUCUCAGGUUGUUUGUGUGUGUGUGUGUGUGUGUGUGUGUGUGUGUUAAGACAAGCAUUUGUUAUUUUGUCUGAAUUUUAAGCAAAUUAAUUUUGGGCUUAGUCAACUUUCUAGAUUCAACUCAAGUCUUUUCAAGUUCUUGCUUAUUUUUUGCAUGCACUUCAGUUAUUUUAAGAGUUAAAAAAAUAUAUAUAUAUAGUCUCAAAUGAUUAAUUCACAUGUCACAGUGUGAGGUGCAUUGAAAUCCCCUUUGACCAGAAAUUUAGAAUAUGGACCAAAACACUUAUUGAAUAUAUAUAAUGAAGAUAUUUGUUGGGCUCUAAUAAUUAUGAUAAUGUGAUGUACAUUUUGUCAAAACUUAUAGUGUUAGUUGUUUAACUCAUUAAAACCAGACUGUCUUAGAUGAAUAUAAUUAUAAAUCUUGCUAAAAUAUGUUUAAAAUUAUUUUAUCUGGAUACCAGGUUCACAAAAUGUGUCUUAUAAUUUUUUAGUUAUUUUAAUUUCAGUUUUAUUUGGAAUGUUCUAAUGUAUGUAUCUAAUCUCCUCUCUUGUUUUUUCAAUAACACUUGUUUGAUAUAUAAAUUUAGCAAGAAGCAGUUAGCUUGAAAUUAUUAUAUUUCUAAUGUCUCAUAACUUAAAAUAUAUAAUUAUUCAAACAUUUAAGCUGGCCUUAAAUAAAUAAAUUUGAAAAUCUUAUAGGUAAACUUAUACUGUUACUAAAGCAUAAAAAUUUACAUAAUAAAAUUUUAGAAUAUAGUACUUUAAUGGAAGACUAGGCAAGUCACUAUGGAAUGUUAAUAAUUUAGAUGUCAUCACACGAAUAGCAAACUAUUUUUGUAAAGUUUAAUCUUUUUUAAUGUUAAUAAAUCAGUGGAACAAUUGUCAUUACCAUAUAAAUUACUGUUGCUGUUAGCUUUAAAAAUAUGAAUUGGCAAAACUUAUGCAACUGAAGAGAAAAUUGUAAAUUUUCCUGAAAUUUAAAAUUGCAGUUAAUUUACAAAAACUUUAUUCUUUUUAUCCAAAUCAUCAGCUAUAAAAUUAUAAGUAUGCUUGAUGUUCAUAAAUAAACAUUUUAAUGUAUAUUUGCAGAGAUACAUUUUAACAAUACAAGUAAUACUUUCUUUAAGAUAUAUGUUAUAUCCAUUGACAUCUCUCCAUCACUGGAGUCUCCUCUCAAAAACACAUUCAUAGGGAAAGGAAACAGAGAAAAAUGAAAUUCUUCAAGGUAAUUUAAAACAUAACGAUAAAAAACAGAGAUGUAUUUUCAUUACCCUCAGAUUUCUACAGGCAAAUCAUUCUUAACUGGCAAAAUAUUAUUUGAUUUCAAUUCUGCCACAGUUAACAGCAAUAACAAAAAAUUAAAGAUAAAUUCAUCGCCAGAACUACCACUAGUUCUUCCGGUUCCCUACAGUACUUUCUUCAAGUUGGAUUUUAAACUACAACUAGCUAAUAUUACCCAGACCCUGAAACCAGUUAUCUUAUAUUGCCUUACUCAUAGCUUUCCUGUGUUUUGCAUUUGAUUUUAGUGUGCUCUAUAGAAUUAUCACUUAUGCACAUGUAAAUAAAAAUAUUUGCCAUUCUAAAACAGAAUAAUGCCAUGUGAAGUAAUAAAUACUUACAAAAAUAAUUUAUUUCAUUACCUGAAUGUUAAAUACUGUAAACUUCUCAAGAGUGUAUCUGAUUUAGAACAUUCUAAAUGAAACUGAAGUGAAAAAGAACUGCACAAUUAUAAGACAUACUUUGUGGACUUGAUAUCCAGAUAAAAUAAUUUAAAACAUAUUUAAGCAAGAUGUGUAAUUAUAUUCAUCUAAGUCAGUCUGGUUUUGAUGAGUUGAAUAACUAAUACUCUUAUAUGUGACAGGAAAUGGAAAUAAAAGAUAAGUUCCAAGUAGGGGAAAAUGUCGUGCUAGAAUCAGUACACAGAAAACAUCUUAUUUUGAAUGUAAAGGUUAACACAAUUUGAUUAAUAGAAAAUGUUGUUUCAUUUAACCACAAUCAUUAAUGUUGAACAAAUAUUCUGUGGCUUUGUUUUUGAAGAACAUGGUUUUAUUAGCUCGCCUAUUACCCCGUAAUUCUGCUGCCUCUUUCUAAUCCAAGACACUCUCAUUUCACAUCAUUCACAACUCUCAUUUCCCAAUUAUUAAUAGCCUCCAAACAUAUCUCCAUGCUUUCUCUUUUGUUUCUUUCUCACACUGCCAUGAUCUAUCUUAUAAGCUUUACUGUCUUUCUGUUUUGAAUUAAAAGCAAAAAUAGCAUCUGGUCUCCCCCCCUACCUUUCUGGCCAUGUUCACUUCAUUGAAUGCCACUCCCUAGUGAGUUCAUUAUAUUCUUAUCCUGCCCUUUAUCAGCUUCUUUAAAAUGUCCAACUUUUUCCCAAGUCAGAGUAAUUUUAUGUCAAUUUACAUUAGCCUAGAAUGUUUGUUUCUUAUACCUACAUCUUUCUCGUCCCUUACCACCCUUCAAGAACACAUAUGAUUUUAAAAAACUUUUAUUUUAUUUUAUUUAUUUAUUUAUUUAUUUAUUUAUUUAUUUAUUUAUUUAUUUUCGAGACAGAGUUUUGCUCUGUUUCCCAGGCUGGAGUGCAGUGCUGCAAUUUUGGCUCACUGAAAUCUCUGCCUCCUUGGUUCAAGCGAUUCUCCUGCCUCAGCCUCCUGAGCAGCUCUGACUACAGGUGGGCACCACCAUGCCCGGCUAAUUUUUGUAUUUUUAGUAGAGAUGGGGUUUCACCAUGUUGGUCAGGCUGGUCUCAAACUCUUGACCUCAGGUGAUCCACCCACCUAGGCCUACUGAAGUGCUGGGAUUACAGGGGUGGGCCACCACGCUUAAGUACACAUAUUUUUAAUGUCUACUUCCUGCAUACCCUGGAGAUUUUAGUUAAAAUGUUUCCUUUAUAAGAAGCAUCUGCAGAACUCUCUUGUUCAAAGGUAUGCAUCUUUCUCCUGCUCUGAUUUGCAGAGCCAUGUUCAACUUUUUAAAUUGCUCUUGUAAUAAUGAUAAACAGAGAUAUGUUUGUGAAAAAACUCUUAUUUUCUCACUGGAUUCUGAAUCUGGUGAGGGAACAACAUUAUUCAAGGCUAAAAUAGUGUGAGUACUUAAUCACAAUAAGAUUAAAUGUCCAUUUUAAAUUUAAUUGCUAUUUUAACGUUUGACAUUACAAGGGAAAACACUUCAAUAAAAUGUUGAUUGGAAAAAUAUAUCAAAGAAAGCUGUAUAUUUUUCUUGACAUUCUGUGAAAUUGUUCAUAAUCAUCAGUAUAUGCAACCUAAAAUUAUAAAUUAGGCUGAGAUUUAUAUUAGAACUUUAAAAUGGAGAAAAAUGUGUGCUUUUUGAAAUCCUGAGAUCUUUCUCUCCUGGAUAUUGUCAUUAUUUUCAUACACACAUAAAAAAAGUGGCUUCAUUUUGAAAAAUAUGUGAAAAAUAUUGUUUCUUCCUUGAAACUUUUAAAUUGAUAUUUUCACAUUUUUUGGCAGUGAGCAUGUUUUUAAACAUUCAGAAAGACUGAACUCUAUUCAGUUGUAACUCCACAGAGUGCUAAACUAAAUGUAAUUGUUCAUAAAGAGAAAAACAAAAAUUAAGAUUUAGAAAAGGUCAGGUUACCUGUAAGUCAGCAAGCUCAUUGAUAUUCAGAAGCCACCAUUGUCCCUGGAUCUUGCAUGCUCCCAGCACCCUACUUUGCUAGGCAUCAUUUACAUGCAGGCCACAGCAGAUCUCUAAAGUGUAUUUCAUAGAUAAAGAGUUAAGAGUACUAAAUUUGUAUGAAAUGUUGUGAAGCUUAAUUUUUCUAUUUAUUUCUGAGGAUUCCAUUAUCUCAGUGUUGAGUAUGUUUGUGAAUUACUGUUUUUUUUUUCCACUUACAAUUUUCCAAAUCUAAAGAUAUAAUAUCCACAAUCAAGCUAACACCAUAAAUAAAGCAUUGCACAGUGGCUCACACCUAUAAUCCCAGGACUUUGGGAGGCCUAGGCAGGUGGAUAACUUGCAGCCAGGAGUUUGAGAACAGCCUGGGCAACACGGUGAAAAGCCAUCUCUACUAAAAAUAUAAAGAUUAGCCAGGAGUGGUGAUCUGUGCCUGCAGUCCCAGCUAAUGGGGAGGCUGAGGUGGGAGGACUGCUUGAGUCCAGGAGGCAGAGGUUGCAGUGAGCUGAGCUCCACUCCAGCCUGGGCGACAAAAUGAGACUGUGUUUCAAAAAAUAUAUAAAAAAGUAAAAACAAAGAAAGGCAUUGGCAAGUAGCUUAUAAGAAAAUUAACUUGUUUAAAGCACCAUUUCUGAGUGUGAGUAAAGAUUGUGUGCUCUGUGUGGCCCUGCCCUGCCCUCUGUCCGUCAUACCCUACAAUUAUUAUUGUGCCUUCUGAAACAAGAUUGCCUUCUCUUGAAAGAAGUUAACUCUGAUCAUAAAGAAAGUUUUGAAAUGGCAAUGAUAAAAUUAAAUCUUAGAAUUAAAGAAUACAGCAAUAAUCUAAUCUCCAAUCUCCACCCCUAUAACUCAGAGUAUUCCUUACUACCUCCUGCUUCUUGAUCUUUCUUCCUGUUCCUUUAACACUAAAAAGACUAGCAUUUUAUAUUUCUCCUCCAGUAUUGUCCAUCUCACUGUAUCUCUGUGCAUUCCUAUCCUUACAGCUUUGGUACUUAAUCCCAAUUUCCUUUAUCCUUUCUACCACUUAUGCAUCAAGCUCUUCAGCAUCAGCAAAUACCUUAUAUUCCUACUCACCUGCAAACUCCCACUCAAUUUAAGUUUAAUUCUGUGCCAAGUUUUUAUAAACCUCCAAGUAAAUCUGAAGAAAACAUUUGCAACUAAGCUGACUUACCUCAAAUUAAACUCAUCACCAUAGUUCCAAGGAGACCAUUCUUGAUACUCAUGAAUCAUACCCUAAUUCCAGCUGUAUUCCCACCCAUUCUUCUGUCUCCUCAAAUAUUCAAGCCCUCCUCCUCCAUCUCCACUCACAGCUGAUGAGUUUGCUUCCUAUUUUACUGAGUGUUCAGGACUCCGCCCCCGCUCGCUUUUCUCCUCCCUCUCAGGCCACUACUUUUCAUUCUAAUUUGCCAGUUCCCUUUGUUACCCUGACCAUCAUUAAGGAGUCUCAGGUAUCAGCCAUUAAUAUAGUAUCAUAUUGAUCUACUUGCUUGUUGAUCUCUUCUAGAGUUGUGUCUCUAAGUACCAUACAUAUGCUGAUGAUUACAAUAUUUAUGUCUCCAGACUAAACUUUUUCCUUGGAAUCUAAACAUUAUAUAUACAACCAGCUACUUGACCUCUCUAGGUGGAUAUCCAAAAGCCAUUUCAAAUAUAACAUUUGCAUUAGUAAGCUCUUAAUCACAUCUCCCAAACUUCUUCCCCAUCUCAAUUAAUGACAACUGCUUACUUCCAGUUAUUUAGGCCAAGAGGUUCAAGUCAUCCCUAUUUACUCUCAGUUUCUUCAAUACCUAAUUCAUUCAGUCAGUAAGUCUGUUUCCAUUACCUUGAAUAAAUAUCUAGAAUCAAUUUUGCUUAAUGCUAUGAACCAAUGUAUACACUGCAGAAAAUUCCUAUCCAUGUGCACCAGUAGACAGACCUGGUACAUGUAAUUAGAAUGAUGAUCAUUAUCAGAAGAAUCAUCAGAUCUGCAUGGAAACUGUAGAUACUGUGACUGGAGUAUAUAUGUACUACUGUAUAUUAAAUAUCCAUACAAGAAAAUCUGUAACUUUUUAUUUCAGAAAACCUAACUUUUCUGAAUAUAAAAGAAUGCUAUAUUUGUUAAUUUAUUCAAAAUAUAUAUAUUAAACUCACAUAGUGUAAAGCAAAAUUCUUGAUGUUUGAGAUUAUUGGUAAACAAAAUAAAAAUACCUGCUUUAGUGAGACAUUCUUAUGAGAAUAUAAAGAAAAUUUUAAAAAUCAACAUAAUAAAUAUAUUAAUUAUGUGAAAUAUUAGAGGGUUAUGAAAGCAAUAAAAAUGGGGAAAAGAUGAGAAUGAUAAGUGGCAAAGGAAUAUUUCAAAUUUAAAUAAAGUGAUCUGUAGAUAAUAUGGUGGGAUACUUUGUAGCAGGGAACAAAUGCCCCCAUUCACAAAUCAAAUUUGCUGAAUCUUAUAUAUUUAAUAUUGAUUUGAAAAAGCAGGAUGCAGAAUCAUAGAAUUUACAAUUUGUAUACAGCAAAAAUCAUAUUCCCCAUGGAUAAAAUAUAUGCUAAAAAACUACUUGAGAAUUUUUUAAAAUGUGGUUGGUAAAAUAAUUAGGAUUUCCCAUUGAAAAUUCAUUAUAUACUUUCUUAAUCUGUGUGAUAAAUUAAUGGAUGCUAAUUUUGUUGUCUUUUUAAAUAAAUUUUAAAAAUAUGCCUUUUGUUGCAUACAUCAAAUAUUUUGCUUUUAAAAGUUACAAUAUUUUUCAUAAUAAUGUGCAUAGUUUUAUAUUAGCCCUUUGCAAACUAUAUUGUUAUACACAUUCAUAAGUAUGAAAACAGAAAAAAAAAUCUAGAAAUAUAUAACUUUAAAUUGUCAAAUGUCUUUUCACCUUCUGACCAAAUUGUAGGUUACCUGGAGCUGACAAAUGUUUCUGUCAAGAUAUAUAUUUUUUAAUAAUAAAAUUAAUAGGUUUUAUAUGUAGAAAGAAACAAUAUUUAUUUGGAAAAAGUUACAUAACUUCAUAAGUAAAAGCAAAAUUCUCAAUGCUUCAGCAGGCCCUGAGCUCAUUCCUCUUCUUCUGAAGGAGAAAGCCAGGUGCUUCUGCUUUGGAUUGGAAUGAUUGGGCUGCUCCAGGUGGUGUCUGUGAGAAUGUUUCUGGAGAAGAUUAGCUAGCGGGCAGGUGGACUGAGUGGGGAAGAUCUGCCCUUAGUGUGGGCAGACACUAUCCAAUCAGCUGGAGGCCUGAGUGAGGCCAAAAGGCAGAGGAGGAGAGAAUUCUUGCUUUCUGUCUUCCAAAGCUGGGAUGCCCUUCUUCUCUAGCCUUCGGAUGUCAGAAAUCCAGGUUCUGGGGUCUUUGGAUUUAUGGACUCCAGGACUCACACCAGUUCUCCCGUUUCAUGCCCAAACUUUCAAGUUCUAGCCCUGAGAGUUGCACCAUCAGUUUCCUUGGUUCUGAGGCCUUCAGACUUGGACUGAGCUGUGCUACUGGCUCCCCUGCUUCUCCAGCUUGCACAUGGCCUAUCUUGGGACUUCUCAGCCUCCAUCACCAAGGGAGCCAAUAUCCCUAAUUUAUGCUAUGUUGUUAUGAUUAUGUUAUUGGAUUAUGUAUUUACUAUAUACCUUUUAUCAUUAUUUUAGGGUACAUUCCUUCUACGUAAGCAGGACCUUCAGGAGAGAUUCCCAGAAGGCAUUGUUAUCACAGGUGAUGACAGCUCUAAGCCUGUUAUUGCUCCAAAAGACCAUCCAGUGGGACAAGAUGUGGAGGUGGAAGAGAGUGAUGUUGAUUAUCUAACUCUGUGUAGGCCUAGACUAAUGUGCUAAUUUGUGUGUUUGUGUCCUAGUUUUUGACAAAAACAAAAACAAAAAAGUUUAAAAAAUAAAAAAUUCAAUAAAUUUAAAAUAAAACAAAGAAUAUAAAUUAAAAAGUUUUGUAUAGCUGUACAAUGUGUUUGUGUUUUAAGCUAAAAGGAAUCAAAUUAAACAAAAUUAAAAGGUUUACAAAGUAAAAAAGUUAUAGUAAGCUAAGGUUAAUUUAUUAAGGAAGAAAACUUUUUAAAAUAAAUUUAGUGUAGCCUCACUUUAUAGCGCUUCUACAGUCUACAGUAGUGUACAGUAAUGUCCUAGGCCUUACGUCCACUCGCCACCCGCUCCCUGUCUCACCCAGAGCUACUUCCAGUCCUGUAAGCUCCAUUCAUGGUAAGUAUAGUAUACAGGUCUACCCUUUUUAAUCUUUUAUGUAACCAUAUUUUUAUGUACAUUUUUAAUGUUCAAGUAUGUUUAGUUACACAAAUACCAUUAUUUACCAUUGCCUACAGAAUUCAGUAUAGUAACAUGCUAUACAGGUUUGUGUCCUGGAAGCAAUAGGCUCUACCAUAUAACAUAAGUGUGCAGUAAGCUACACCAUCUAGGUUUGUGUAAGUACACUCUUCAAUGUUCACACAACAAAAUCAUCUAAAGACACAGUUCUCAGAAUGUAUCCCCUUCAUUCAGUGAUGCCUGACUGUACAUAUAUGCAUUUCAGAAGUACUCAGUAUGAACCCUGUGUAAACUGAGGUAAGGUGAUAAUUUUUUCAUUCAGAACGUUCUCAAAAAUGUUUAAUAUUUCAUAGAAAUAUGUUAGUAACAGAAACACCACAGGUGUUAAAGCAACAUGCUUGAUUCUGUACGCAUCUGUAACUGAUAAGUACACUAAAUUUAGGUGCAGGUGAAAUGAUUCUAUGUCUUUAAGGUCAUAUUUGAAUAUUUUCAUAUUUAAAUUUAUAUAUAUAUAUUAUAUAUAUAUGGAAAGAGAGAGAGAGAGAAUCACUUUGUCACACAGGCUGGAGUACAGUGGUGCUAUCUCGGCUUAAUGCAGCCUCAACCUCCUGGACUCAAUCCUCCUGCAUCAGGCCCCCAAGUGGCUGGGACUAGAGGUGUGUGCCACCACACCCAGCUAAUUUUUUUGUAUUUUUUAUAGAGAUAAGGUUUUGCCAUGUUGCCCAGGCGUGUCUCGAACUCUUGAGCUACAGUGAUCCACCUGCCUUGGCCUCCCAAAGUGCUAAGAUUACAGGCAUAAGCCACCAUGCCCGGCCUGAAAUUUAUAUUUUUUAUAAAUAUCGUUUAUUUAUCCUUUUUAUGAUUACUUUUAGAUCACUUUAUUGAUUGACUUUAUUUUUUUACAUGUUUUGGUGAAUUAUUUCAUUAAUGGAUUUUGUUUCAAGAUACAAAAUGGUGUUGUAAAGUUUUUGUUUCAAGAGUUUAAUAUCACCAAGAGAAGUAUUUCUCUUUUCCUUUGUUACUCAUGGAUUAAAGUUUAGUUGUUAACCCACAUCAUCAGGGCUCGUCAACCAACCAGAUCAUGAGGGAUCUCCUUAGAAAUGCAUCAUCUCAGGACCCUUCCACAGGCCUGCCCAAGCAAAACCUACAUUUUAACAUCUGAAACACAUUCACAACAUUAUUCGAGGGACACUAUUCUAAUCCAUCUAUUUCCCCCCUUUCUCUCUGCUAAUAGUUUAGUCCUUUAUAGUUCAUUAAAGUAUCUGCAGGAGGUUUAAGUGUUUUCUGUUUAUACUCCCCUUCUACUAAAAAGAAAAGAAAAAAAAAUCAAAUCUCUCCUAUGCCUUAGCUUCUCUGUAAUCUGAGGAAAACAUUCACAGCCUUCACCAUAGAUAAGCCUUCCUUUUAAAAAGACGUCUGUGUGAUCUAGUAGCAGACAACUUCAGCGAACCCCUCCUGGACAAAUCUGAAUGACUGUUAAUUUGACACUGGGACUUUUCUGUUUAUCUAUGUGCCAUGAUCUUUCCUGUUUCCCAGUGUGCAAGCACUAUGCAUGUCAACAAUUGUUUUCCAUUUAUGAUACAGUUCCUUUUAUUUUGCUAGUUGUUAUGUUUUCUUCAAAUUUGCACUAAACUAGAUAUCUAAAGAAAAACUUUCUUUAAUCAUUAUUGCUGACAUUUUAUUUAAUUAGUUGAUGUGUUUAAAAAUUAUUUUCUUUUUACAGAGAGACUAAAUAUACCAAUGGAUGGUAGUCAGGCCAUGUAAGCCAAGGAGACUUUGACUCAGUCUCUGUAGCCAUCAUUCAGGAAGCCAAACGGCCUCCGCAGCGAUCGGCCCAGAAGAAUCAGAGCUUGGUUAGUGACUUAGAGCUUUCCUAAUAUUUCCCCCUGCUUCCUACUUAGGAACAACCAGAGAAAGUCAAAUAUGUUCUCAGAAGAGUAAAUGAGGAUGCCCCACUUCUUAGUAGCCAACCCCAGCUUCCCCAUACCUUCCAGUCCUCUUCGACACAGCUGCCACGACUGCCAUCUCCCUUUUUUUUGCUAUGAAACCUUCCUAUCCCUCUACGCGCCUUUGAGUUUUUCCCAAACUCAAAGGCAGAGGAUAGUGGCUGACUCCUUUGCUAGAGCAAAAUCUAAAUAAAUCAGCUUUGUUUGACUUUUCUGUUGGUUUCUCAUUUGGGUCAUCUUUGUUUAUUUCCACAUUAGUAAAUUAAUGAUUUGAAACAAAAAAUGUCUUUAUCUUGGAUGAAAUUCAUACAAUCUGGUAGAAAUAACAAUUAAACAAAUACGAGGAGAUUAGCAUAUUAUCUGUGCUUUUCUCUCAAAACUAAGAGUUCCCACUCCAGAUUUAGAGUAUCUAUUUUUAAGUACGAAAUACAUUUUUGGUUUAGGUGCCCAGAAGCAUAGACACAUUGACAUAAUAUUAUGUUCAGAAAAUGUUUAAAUUAAGAAAAGUAUCGUUUCACUCUUCCAGUAUAUUUUUUUUGGUCUAUCUUUUAAAAUACUUUGCCUUGGUUUAUAUAGCUAGAUUGUGGAACAACAAUUAACAAAAGUAUUUCUAACCUGGGGGCAGUCAUUUCUACGAAAUUAAUUUCAAAAUAGUAUGCUAUUGCAUUGCAUUUUUAUGCAAGCCACUUUUAUAGAAAGCUGUAUCCCAGUGCAUUUGACAGAGUUAAAUAAUACAAUUAUGGAAUAAAGUAAUAGAAGUUGAAGAAAAAGAUAUGGUUUCAGAUGAGAUUUGAAAUGGCAGCUCCAAUAAUGCAGAAAGAUAGAGAAAGCCUGUUCCAGAUGUCAAUCACUGCUGCUGAGAGGACUGGCAGCAAUGAUUUUGCGUGAAGUAAUACAGAAAGGAUAAAUGAGUUCUAUGUAUUUUGGAUGCAUCAAUUUUUAUUAUGCAAUUUCAAGCAAUGAAAUUAAGGUUGAGAAAAAACUUGUUAGAUCUGAAAGCAUAGUUUGAUUUGGAUUUAGACUCUGGUGAUAUUCAUAGGGAACCUACUAAGCACUAGACAGCAUACCAGAGUUUGCAACAGGUUAUUGUGAGUUGCUAGAAAACUCCUACUCUAUGAUUAUAUAAAAAAAAUUAACUAUGGGUGAAUGAAAACCCAAGAUGCCAGAGUGCACAGCAGUAAUUAUAGCUAUAUUUACAAAAAGAUCAAUUAUGUUUUCAGGUUUAAAAUUAAUAUUUUCUGAUUAUAAUUAUACAUAUAUACACAUAUAUAUGUGUUUAACAUUUACGUGAAAAUCAAUAUUUUCUGAUUUUAAGUAUAAGAUAUAUAUAUAUAUAUACAUCAUAUAUGUAUUAAACAUUUACCUGAUACAGAAAAGUAUAACUCAUACUAAUAACUCAUGCUAAUAACCCAUACUUUUCUGAUACAGAAAAGUAUAACUCAUACUAAUAACUCAUGCUAAUAACCCAUAAUCCCACUACUCAUAGAUAACUACUCCUAAUAUUUUUAUUGACUUUCAGAUUUUGUCUAUGCAUUUCCAUACCUAAUUUAUAUAUGCAUACAUAUCAAUAAAUGCACAUGCACAAAUUUAUAAAUGGAAAUAUACUAUUCAUAGCAUUUAAUAUUUUAAAAUUAUAAUUGCAUCUCUUUGAGAUAAAAUACAGCAAAGAAUCUCUCAUUUAAAAUGACAGACAUGAAUUGAAGUGAUUUGUUUGAAAUAACUCUGCAAUUCACUGGAGUAAACAUUAUUAUUAAGGUUUGAUUAACAAAACAAAAGGGCUAAUCUAUUUCUGUUGUCCCAUUCCCACAUGCUGAGUCCCACCUGCCUGGUUCCACCUGGGUUCUUCUGUCCUGAUUAGCCUGUUUUAAUCAAUGGAUAUUGGCUACUGCCCUGCAGUCUGGCUUUGCACAAUGGUGAUCGUGAAUGCCCUUUAUUAAAGCAAACUUGAACCACGUACGCUUAUUCAGGGGGAGCCAAGAUUGUCCAGCGGCCUCAAUAUUCAGUGCCUUUCAAAAGUUAGUCUUCUUUUUUCUGUCUUUUGGGGUUAAAGUGAAUACAGCAGCUCUUCUGGCUGUGCAGAAGCCGUGGUAACCUAUGGAAGCCCUACCUUUUCUAAGAAAGUAACCUGUGACUUCAAUACUUCAAUUUUAUACCUGAAUAUUUGUUUUUCUUUAUUUCAAGCUUUCCUUAUAGCAGAUGCCUAGUUUGGCAUGGCUUCCUUGAGAAGCAUUCCAAAUCCCUCUACAUUAUUAUCAGAAUAUACUUCUUAGUGUCUCAACUUCAGGAGAAAGAUGACUCUCCUGUUUUUUUUUGUUUUUUGUUUUUUGUUUUUUUUGAGACGGAGUCUCGCUCUGUCGCCCAGGCUGGAGUGUAGUGGCGCGAUCUCGGCUCACUGCAAGCUCCGCCUCCCGGGUUCACGCCAUUCUCCUGCCUCAGCCUCCCGAGUAGCUGGGACUACAGGCGCCCGCCACCACGCCCGGCUAAUUUUUUGUAUUUUUAGUAGAGGCGGGGUUUCACUGUGUUAGCCAGGAUGGUCUCGAUCUCCUGACCUCAUGAUCCGCCCGCCUCUGCCUCCCAAAGUGCUGGGAUUACAGGCGUGAGCCACCGCGCCCGGCCGACUCUCCUGUUUUAACCAAUAUUAAUACUUCUCCCUCAUCUCAGCUUAAAUCAAAUCCCACAACUUCCAUGAAGACUCCUGACUGUCUCAAGACUUUAUCUACCUCCUCUGAACCAGUGGGAAAGGUUUUUCAGCUCUUAUACAAAGACACUAUACUGAUUAACUGACAAUCAACCUUUAUUCAAACUGUCUCUCUAAUUAACUCAUAACACUUAGAAGGUGGAUUCUAUAUUUGUUUACCCAAGCAUCCUGUGGAAUUUCUCAUAUACAAAUGUACUAAUUAGGAUUUUCUUUGCUGGUGACUGAAACCCCACUAGGAUAAGAUUAAGUAAUUAUUUGUUCAUAAUGGAAGACAGAGUUGCAGUUAGCCUCAUUUUGAGAAUGAGAUAACUGUCAUUUCAUCUCUUUCUGUGGACAUUGGCUCUAUAUUCUUUUGUUGCAGAUAGACUCAUGUAUUUUGGUGUGUAUGAGAAGGUGAGCAAAUAUUGCCAUAAAUAAUAUUCAUGUGGACCUUAUAAUAUUCUUACAAGAAAGUUUUUUUUUUCAUGGAACUCAACCUAGAAAUUUCCAAAAAAGAAUUCAACUUUCACAUGCCCAUUCCUGGAUUUAUUUCUAGGGUGAUGGUGAGAAGGGGUAUUAUUAUUAGCUUUCCUAUAUUAUUUGUCUAUUUGAGUAGUCAUAAAGUAUAAGCAUAUGAUUCACAUCUUCCAACAAAAUCAUGUAUUUGUUUAGAGUCAAAAUGGUUGCCAAAAGGCAGUGCUAAAUGAUUUCCUGAUCAUAUUAAAAUGUCUUAUUCAAGUUGACUAUAAAUCUAUUAUUAGUAAAUGUUAAUAGAUUACUGUAGCAUUCAAUGAUGAUAACAUAUAUGAUAACAAAGACUUCCAAGAUGAGAAAAAAAGCCUUACCCAAUGGUGGUAAUUUCUUCCAUCAUUAUGCUGCAGUAGAAAAGAUUUCUGUAUGAGUGUUGGUUUAGAGAAAGUCUUCAUAUCCUAAAAAUACUUCCUUCUUCAGGAAAGAAAAUGAAAGACUGAAACAAGACAUUAAAGGGCAAUGAGAAGCACGAUUUUAAAAAGUAUUAUGUAAAAAAAAAGUCAAUUAUGAUGUGGGAUUUUUGCUCCUUAGCUCAGUGAGGUCCAGGUACUUGUCUCAUGACCAGGAAGAAUUAGGCACGUGGCCAUCGAAAGCUCUCAGCAAAAAGAGGGGGUGGGAAGGGUGGAUCUCCUACCUGAAGACAGGACAGUUUCCCAAUAUGGGUGAGCCCAGGGUUUUUUAUGGGCUCAGAAUAGGGAACGUGUGCUGAUUGGCUUGUGAGUAUGCAAAAAAGUUCCAAGCAAAGUCAGCACUCAGAAGUGAGCACAACAGUGUAGAAAACCAAUUAGGAAAUGGUAGCUAUAUGUAAAAUAGGUGAAGGGUGGGGCUCAAUCAGGCUCAAUCAGAGGAAAGUGCGCCAAAUGAGAAGGUGGGUUCUCUAUCUGGUCCAAGAGUUUGCAUGGGACAGUUUCUGGCUUAAUGGUUGGGUCUCACCAGGGACCUGCCGCUAUCUGCCAAGGCAUUUGUCUGCUUCCUACCUCUAUCAGUUGUUAAGUGCAGGUUAGCUAGGGAAUAUUUUAAAUGCAGAAAAUAAUUAUCAUUAUCUACUGAUUAUUUUGGAAAAAAAAAUGUUCUCUAUGAGAUUUAACUGCAUCACACCCGAACAAUUUACUGCAUGAUCGCUGUCAUCCACAAUAAAUAAACAGUACAAAAACACUUUAUAAAAUUAACAUUUUGAUGAAAUAUACAAAUUAUUAAAUUAUUUUAAAUUUAAGAUUUACAUAUGUUAUUUGAUAGCAAUAUAUCCUGUGAGAAGUGUAAGAUAGCUGUUAACAUUCUCCUUUUCAUUUUUCAAGUUUUUUUGUGUGUGUAUGUGUUUGCGUGAGAGAGACAGUGUCUCACUCUGUGGCCCAGGCUGGAGUGCAGUGCUGUGGUCUCAGCUCACUGCAGCCUCUGCCCCACAGGCUCAACUGAGUCUACUCCUCCCACCUCAGCCUCCAGAGUAGCUGGGACCACAGGUGUGCACCACCACAUCUAGCUAAUUUCUUGCAUUUUUGGUAGAGAUGGGGUUUUGCCAUGUUGCCAUGGCUGGCCUCGAACUCAUGGCCUCAAGUGCUGUGUCUGUCUCGGCCUCCCAAACUGCUGGGAUUACAGGUAUGAGCCACUGACCCUGGCUACAAUUUCAAGUAAUGUGUCCAAAUAGCUAUGUUAGGUGAUUUUUAUCAUUAACCAAGAAUCUAAAGCUUACUGUUUGGUGUAACACUGUGGAAGUACUUGUAAAUAAUUAUAUCUGCCAGGCCAAGCAUGGUGGCUUCUGCUUGUAAUACCAGCAUUUUAGAAGGCUGAGGCAGGAGGACCUUUUGAGGCCAGGAGUUCUAGAUAGACCUGGGCAACAAAGAGAGACCCUGUCUCUAUAAAAACCAACAAAAACAAUGCAAAAUUAUAUAUGUAACAUUUACAACCAGUAAAAUUUAAACAUCUUAAAAAAUUAAUAGUGUAGAUUCACUCAACUCUUUGAGAUUGCUAAUCUUAUGCAUUGAAAUAAAACAAUGCAUUCCAAUAAAACCUAUUAGAAUAUGUACUGUCUUCUGGGUGUGUUCUCAAAUAUACCUUAUAGGAUAUAUACAAAAUAGGAAAUAUUAAUCCUGUUUCAUAGAGGAGAAAAGUUUCAAGAGGUCAAGUAAGCUACACAUGGUCCUAAAACUGACACAAAAAAAUAAACACCAGCUUUGAGGACUCCUUUGCUGCUGUCUCUGCUGGGGCCCUGUCACUACAUCUGUGGCCUAUACAUAGGUCAGUGUUCUCCAGUAAGUGCUGAACAAACUCCAGAACAUGCUGUCAGACACUGUGGAGGCACUGAAUGAGUCAAGUGACAUUUACAUAUACAUUAUCAAUGAGUAGAAUUAGAUAUGCCAACUAUGAACAUUGAGUUUUCUGGAAGUUUCCAAUGUCUUUAUUUAGAGCUUAUUUCUUGAAUAUUUGUCAUUCUCAAGGAAAUUCCAAAUAGAAGAAAUCAGUACAGAACGAAAAUAAAAUCACCUUACAAAAAUAUUUAAAAUCUUAGGAAAAUGUAAGACACACUUGAGUCUUCUGACAUUUUGGAAAAGAAAUUGUAAAAAGAAACAAACUGAGUCCUGGGAAAAAUACUUUCAAAACACAUAUAAAGAUUAGUUAUUUUAAAUAUGCAAAGAACUAUUAAAACUCAACAAUAUAAACAAAAAAAUGGACCAAGACCUCAACAGAAACCUCAACAAAAAAGCUAUAUAGAUGCAAAUAAGCAUAUGAAAAGAUAAAUUAUAUAUCAUAUAUCAUCAGGUAAAUGCAAAUUAAAACAUCUAUGCAAUUUCACCAUACACCUGUUAGAAUGGCCUAAAUGCAGAACACUGACAACACCACAUGCUGGCAAGCACAUGGGGAAGCUGGAACUCCCAUUCACUGCUGAUAGGAGUGCAGAAUGGUACAGACAAUUUGGAAGACAGUUUGGUGGUUUCUUACAAAACUAAACAUAGCUAUACCAUCCAGCCAAUUGUAUUUCUUGGUAUUUAUUGAAAGGAGUUGAAAAAUUAUUUCCACACAAAUCCCUGCACAUGGAUGUUUACAGCAGUUUUAUUCAUAAUUAUCAAAACAUGGAUGCAUCCAAGAUAUCCUUCAAUUGGUGAAUGGAUACAUAAACUGUGGUACAUCCAGAAAAUGGAAUAUUCAGCACUUGAAAGAAAUGAGCAAUCAAGUCAUGAAAAGGGGUGGAGAAAUCUUGAAUGCAUAUUAGUAAGUAAAAGAAGACAAUUUCAAAAGGCUAUACAUUACGAUUCCAACAAUAAGACAUUCUGGAAAAAGCAAAACUAUGAAGACAGUAGGAAGAUCCUCAGUUGCCAGGGGUUAGGAGACAGAGAGAAGUGAAUAGACACAAAGAAGAGGAUAUUCAGGGCAAUUAAACAGUUCUGUAUGAUACUACAGUGGUGGGUACAUGACAUUACAUACUUUUCCCGACCAGUAGAACAUACAGUACCAAGAGUGUGAGCAUCAGCUAUAGACUGGGUGAUUAUGAUGUGUCAAUGUAGGUUCAUCAAUUGUAACAAAUGUACCACUCUGGUGGGGAUAUUAAUAAUGGAGUGUGUGUGUGUGUGUGUGUGUGUGUGUGUGUGUGUGUGUAGGUUAGGGACUUUUAUAGGAAUUCCCUUUACUUCCCAUUCAUUUUUUUGGGAUCCUAAAACUACUUUAAAAAAAAAUAUUAAUAUCGUUAUAAAACAAAACAAAAAUCAACCAAACAAAAAAAUCCCACAGCUGUGAUUACCCUAAUUACAAACAAGUGUGCAGUGGGACUUGUGUAUUUUACGGACAGUGAUCCUUGAGAAAACCUUAAGUUUCCUACUGACCUUAAAUUUUAUCAUUCUCAGCAUGUGAGGCAAAUAGUGAAUAACUACAACUAUAAAAUAAUUUUAUAUCUUUAUCUACAUGUUCAAAUUUUAUUCUAUGCUUCUUGGAUGGCAAAGAGUUGGUAAACAAAAUAAAUAGCUAAUUCCUGUUCUCUACAAUUUCUUACUUUUCCUGAGAAGAACAAAAAACAUUUAUUUUCUUAGUAAAGAUGCUAUUUCUUUCCUGGGACUGUACCUUUACAAAAUAAGAUAAAUAUGCCUGCUGCAACUAUACCACUUAGAAACAGAACCAAGAAAACAUAAUCACUUAAAAAUUUUUCGAAUAUAAAUGUCAUUACAAAUAGAAAAACAGUUGCCCAGAACCCUGUGAUCCUGUAGGAAAUCAGUUAAUAAAAAUGAAAUUUAAAUGCACAGACAUGAAAAUCCUGUACUAGUUGAUAGACUUUAUCACCAGUUUGUGUUCUUAUCAAUAGCAGCAGACAUCUGACUAUAUUCACUUUGGUUUACUCUGAGCAUAUUUUUCAAAUUUAAACCUAUUUUAACAAGACAAAUGAAGUGACAAAUGCAAUAAAUUAGAAUGCAUUAUACAAGCAAAUACAUUUUUAGCCCUGUAGUUACAGAAAAAAAAAAAUAAAAGAGAAAAACAAAACCUCACACCUAUUCUUCAUCUUUACUAAAGGAAGAUGCCAAAUACCCAGUUGGGGGGAAAGCAAUUUUGAAGCAGUAGCAGUCAUUACAAAGAAGAUGACUCUGUGAAUGUGGAGGUUACAGGUUCUUUUCUUUCCUCCUUUCUCUUUCUUUCUGCCUUCCCCCCAUCAAAACACAGCUUAGAGAACAGUAGCAGAUGUCCUCAUUCCAGGGAAGUGCCAAGCAGCCAUCUCUCUUUUGCUGUGACGGCUUCCACAGAAGGGAAGCUGUUUGCCCCGUUUCGUUCUACAUGUUUGUGAAUAUUUGAUUUUCACAGAAGACAAAAAAGGGCAAGAGCUUUGGAAUUCAAUAGAAGGUCAGAGUGGCAAUCUUUUUGCCUGUUCCAGCUUCUUUUUAUACUCUGACAUCUGGCG